AACGAACGCUGGCGGCAUGCCUAAUACAUGCAAGUCGAACGAGAUCUUCGGAUCUAGUGGCGCACGGGUGCGUAACGCGUGGGAAUCUGCCCUUGGGUUCGGAAUAACUUCUGGAAACGGAAGCUAAUACCGGAUGAUGACGUAAGUCCAAAGAUUUAUCGCCCAAGGAUGAGCCCGCGUAGGAUUAGGUAGUUGGUGAGGUAAAGGCUCACCAAGCCGACGAUCCUUAGCUGGUCUGAGAGGAUGAUCAGCCACACUGGGACUGAGACACGGCCCAGACUCCUGCGGGAGGCAGCAGUAGGGAAUAUUGGACGAUGGGCGAAAGCCUGAUCCAGCAAUGCCGCGUGAGUGAUGAAGGCCUUAGGGUUGUAAAGCUCUUUUACCCGGGAUGAUAAUGACAGUACCGGGAGAAUAAGCUCCGGCUAACUCCGUGCCAGCCGCCGCCGUAACAC
rnacentral:rRNA from 1 species